AGUCGAACGGCAGCGCGGGCUUCGUGCCUGGCGGCGAGUGGCGAACGGGUGAGUAAUACAUCGGAACGUGCCCUGUCGUGGGGGAUAACUAGUCGAAAGAUUAGCUAAUACCGCAUACGACCUGAGGGUGAAAGCGGGGGACCGGUAACGGCCUCGCGCGAUAGGAGCGGCCGAUGUCUGAUUAUCUAGUUGGUGGGGUAAAGGCCUACCAGGGCGACGAUCAGUAUCUGGUCUGAGAGGACGAUCACCCACUCUGGGACUGAGACACGGCCCAGACUCCUACGGGAGGCAGCAGUGGGGAAUUUUGGACAAUGGGGGCAACCCUGAUCCAGCAAUGCCGCGUGUGUGAAGAAGGCCUUCGGGUUGUAAAGCACUUUUGUCCGGAAAGAAAUGGCCCUGGCUAAUACCCGGGGUCGAUGACGGUACCGGAAGAAUAAGCACCGGCUAACUACGUGCCAGCAGCCGCGGUAAUACGUAGGGUGCGAGCGUUAAUCAGAAUUACUGGGCGUAAAGCGUGCGCAGGCGGUUUGAUAAGACAGGCGUGAAAUCCCCGGGCUCAACCUGGGAAUGGCGCUUGUGACUGUCAGGCUAGAGUGCGUCAGAGGGGGGUAGAAUUCCACGUGUAGCAGUGAAAUGCGUAGAGAUGUGGAGGAAUACCGAUGGCGAACGCAGCCCCCUGGGACGUGACUGACUCUCAUGCACGAAAGCGUGGAGAGCAAACAAGAUUAUAUACCCUGGUACUCCACGCCCUAAACGAUGUCACUAUUUGUUGGAGAUUCAUUUCUUCAGUAACGUAUCUAACGCGUGAAGUUGACCGCCUGGAGAGUACGGUCACGAGAUUAACACUCAAAAGAAUUGACGGAGACCCGCACAAGCGGUGUGAUGAUGUGUAUUAUUUCUAUGCAACGCGAAACACCUUCACCUACUCUUGACAUGCCUACUAACGAAGCAGAUGAUGCAUUAGUUGCCCAGAAAGGAAAAGUGAACACAGCUGCUGCAUGGCUGUCGUCAUCUCGUGUCGUGAGAUGUGGAUAAGUCCCGCACGAGCGCACCCAUGGCUCUAGUGCUACCAGACCUCUAGAGAGACUGCGGUGCACAUCUGAGAGUGUAUG
rnacentral:rRNA from 1 species